ensembl:snRNA U6 U6 spliceosomal RNA
GUGCUCGCUUCGGCAGCACAUAAACUAAAAUUGGAACGAUACAGAGAUUAGCAUGGCCCCUGCACAAGGAUGACACGCAAAUUCGUGAAGCAUUCCAUAUUUUU